UAAUAGCUUUUAGAUAUCAGCUAUGGAAACCGUGUCAGCUUCUCUGAAGUCACUUUUGCAAGUAGCUUGUCACAAUUCAGUGGUGACAGGAAACUGAAUUUCAUCCCUGCAUUCUGGAGCAAGUUAAAACACUAUUUGAUAUUUAAUGGACCUUUGUUCUUUAACAUGUAGCUGUUUACCAUUGUAUUUUGGCAGCUUCUUUGGAGACAGAAGUACAAAGGGAUUGUUUCUGAGGAAGGCCAGAAAUCCAGGGCUCCUCUUGCUUGUUUCUGCCACACCACAGUGGAAGAUGCGGCUGGGCCUUGUUACACCUGGUGUUAAAUAACAUCCUCUUGUCUAAACUGGGAGGGAUCCCUGCACACAUUGGGCACGCAGAGCCUCAGAAAAGCUUACUUGCACAUGCUCUCCAGCCAGCAGCGCUCCAGAAAACAGAAGUGCUUUCCUUCACAGAAAUCCGACUGACGGGUGCUCACUGGGAUGAUGCUGUGGGGCUGGCAUGCUCUGGAAGUGUCCCUCAUGCCUCUGCAUGGUCAUCAUUAGGAGAGCCAACACAAUGGCUGCUACUGCGCUGUGGCAUGUACGGUGAUGCCAAGGCACAGGGCCUGCCCAUCCCUCACUGCAUCCAGGCACUACAGGCACCCAGCUGCAAGCAGGAGAGGCACAGGGAGGGGCACAGAUACAGGGGAGAUGACAAGGCUGGGUGCAGCCUUUUACCCUGCAGUAGAAAAGGGCAAAUGGCAAUGGAAAGGCAGUAGGUGCAGGGCUGACAGGUCCUUGAGCUCAGCGGAGAAAAGAGGGUGUGCUUCUCCUUUAACGUGAAUGUACAGUAAAUGGUCCCCGUGCUGUGUGCCAGACGGACAGGACAGAAAAGGAAAGCCGGUCUGUGUACAGAGGGCAAGCACUGUACUGACAGCGGGAGCGCAAGGCUCCUCAUGCUUUUCUGAUGACACGUUUCAACCCAGAUCGAGCUCUUUAGGAGUGAGAUGCCUCAUGUGUCACUGCCCUCAAAUCCUUGGCCUCCGCACUGAGACUACCAACGAGAAUGCCAGCUAUGAUGGUGGGUUUAUUUUCACCAGACUGAAUGGACUUCCCUCUCAUUCCACAGAGAGCACGAGACAGCUGUAAGUCAGCAGCAGCUUUUCCUUGGAGAGGGGCCCAAGGCAUAAGAUUUAAACCACCUAAUCUCUCUGUGCCCCCGUCCCGGGAUCCACGUGCCAUCCUGACCAAAAUAACUGACACAGGGCUGCGAGAGGGAGCACCUCGCAACACCUCGGCGCUCUCGGAACCGGCCAGCGGGACACGGUCCCCCGCCGCACCCGGCCCGCACCGCCCCGCAUCGCCUCGGCGGCGGCUCCCCCUAGCGCCCGCUGGGGCGGGGCGGGACGGCUGUACCUGCCCGAGGAGAUAUCCGCCUCCGGACAUGAGAGCCCUUCUUUUGCCUUUCCCCUUUCCCGCGGGCAGAUGCAUUCUUUGAAAGCUCGGUGUGUGUUUCUGUGGAGCGUGAGCUCUGCGCUGAUUUCAGAAGCUGCUCAGCUACUCUCGGGUAGGUUCCAGCACCUGAAAGCUGGCGAGGCUUUAAGCAGCAUCACCUGGACACACUGCUAAGGCUUUGCAAGAAGUGUGCCUACAGCAGCGCUGGUGGAUGUGGCUCCUUACUGUGAGCUCUACUUGUGGCUGUCCAGCCCCUUUAGCACCUGGAUGGAGAGCAUCUGUCCUCUAUGCCUUGCUAUUUUCACCUCCCCCCCAUACCCCACCUGUCUAACAACAGGGCCACACACGGGCCUUCUAGCCCACUCCUGUUCCAUGUGAGUUCUCCAGCCUGCCAUGCUCUGUGUGGUGGCACCUCCACUUUAGGAGGCUGUUUCAACUACUCUGAACUGGAGGGGAGGGAGGGAGGGAGGCAACACUCCAGACAUCAAGGCGUGCAGUCUCAACCUCAGCACCAGGCUCCCAUAGAUCAGCCUGCAACCAACCCCCCAAUACAACAAAGCAUCUUUUGGCUCCUUCCAGGUGCUGGAAAAGGGAGGUGGAAGCCUGGGGCACAGCGGGUGCAGGGCAUGUGCUGCUGAGGCUGGUGGGGGCAGAGGGGCAAGCUCUGCUCUCUGAAUCAGACGCACUGGUUUCGCAGGCCGCAUGUGAAUCAGACAACCAUCACAAACAUCUGAGCCCACAAAGCCUGGCUCUGCCACAGCUAUUGUGAUCUACGUUAUUCAGGAAUUCUAAAAAACAGCACCAAUUCCCAUAAAGUUUUGCAGAGUAGAUAAAUACUCUGCUCCAGCACUCACAGCACAAAAGCUUUAAGCAAUUAGGCCAGGCCACACAGCGAUUCAGCAGCCGGCUGGGCCGCCAGCUGCACAGGGCUCCUGAGGCUGCCGUGCUUCUGUGUGCUUAUCCACACCAGGGACAGUGCUGUGACCAACACUGCAACUUACCCACACCACAGCCCGGGAGAGGACACCACAGGACCACGUGCAUUUUUUUUUAGGGAAGAAAGGGCCUGACCUCGUUCACUUUAGCAAAGGAUGCAGCUCUCCUAAAAAAACACUGACCAGCAGCUAGAUGCAUUUUCCCUGUUCAUCCUCACCCUAGAAUUUCUGGAUUAUCCAGUAGGUUUUUCUUCACACUUUUCUGCCUGUUUUGCAAAGCAGUUUGAAGUUCUUAGCUUUGAUCAGAGCUGGUCUUGGACAAGGUUUUGCUGCUGCCUCUUUUUUCCUUCCUGUGGUGAGAACAGAGAAAAGGGGCAGUUCUCACACCAUCUUUCUCACAGGAGCUGGCUGCCAUCACACAAAAACACCUUAGGUUCCUUUGGGGUGAUGAUGGUACGUGCAUGUGUGGGGUCAGAGGAGGCUACAGAAGAGCCCCCUUCCCCCAGACAGAGAUGACAUUUGCUUCUCGCUCCAAGAAGCCCAGAGCUUUUCCUUUGACUCAAAAGACAUUGCUUUGGAAAAUCAGAGCUGACUACAUCAUAAUUCCAUCCCCUUCUCCCAGUUUUUGAGUGAUAAGGCAUGCACGAUGCUGCUUGACACUGUGAUAUUUAUAAAACAAAGCAGAGGUCAAAUUUGCUGAACAGUUUCCAAAUUCCAGUGAGAUUUAUCACAAAGAGCCCCAUGCACAGACCAAAGUGGCGUGACUGACAAGGGUGGGAUUGUGGAGCCACUCGAAAGCCUGGUUUCCAGCCAGCACCGAUGGGCCACAUCACGCUCUUGGGGGCAAAACCUGCUGGGAAGCUUCAGCUAUGUGGAGAAUUCAGGCAGCUUUCACAACAGAAUUUCUGGACAAGAGAACCCAUUGUGAGGAGCUCAGUUUCAUGCUCGAGGAGCCACACUGUCCUCCAUCAGUGUGGCCCUGUGUGAGGGGCAGCCUGGAGCUCAGCCCCAAGCAGCAGGCCCCAUGCUGCCUUGCUCCUCCCCAGUGCCCCAGCCUCCCUAAAAUAGAGGUGCUGCCGGGCCUCGCUUGCCAGCUUUCCAUCCCAAAAAGUGCGGGAAGAAAGGUUUUUCCCACAGCAGUGCUGAUAGUUCCAACUGAAAGCUGUCCAAAGGAGAUUUGGCAGAAAUGCCCACCAGAUAGCUACAACUGAGAAAGCGGCUCCAGUCUCUCACUCUCCCCAGACACCAGCCUCCAGGGCUGUUGCUAACACUGCCUGUGUUCUCAUCUAAGGGUUGGUGCUGCUGAGACCUGUUUGCACCCUGGUGCUCUCACCAGCCAGCACAUUUCAUCCUCCUGCCCCGAGCCAGAGGGGACAGAUUUGACAUGGCUAAGCCUCAGUUAUUUCUACAGAAGCAGGCCACGGCUGGCUAAAGUACACAGUGCAGAAACUGGAUCUGGAGCGGAGGUCAAGGUGACACCUCCAGAGUGGGCUCCACCUCAGCAUCUUUGCCCCAGUACCACAGGUCAGAGCACGGCUCCACAAAGCACUCUGCAGAGGAGCGGGGAUUACAUCCGUGUUUGUUCACUCAUCCUGAAGGUGCUCCCAGAAGACACAGGGAAAACUUCCAUAGAGCUCACUGCUGAGGCAAGGCAGCAAGGCUGGGCAAGGGACAAGUGCUGAGCCUGUCUGCAGGGAGGCACAUGGCCUGAACCCUGCCUGGAGGCUGCUGGGCCUGCAGUGCCCCACACCAAGCCAGCGGUGUGGGGAGCAGAGCAGGGUCUGUUGUCUCACUCCAUGCUGGUGCUGGUGGCUGAAAGCCAUUGCUUCAUCUUCUGGGCUUCUAAGCACUGUUGGAAACAAAGGAAAAAAACAACAAAAAAACAAUUUAGACUACAUACGCAAACAGAUUUGAUGACUUUUCAGGAGAAGAAGUUACUAUAUCCUUACAAAUGACUAACUCCACCAGAUGUGAUUUCAUCCACCCACCCAUCCUCAUAUCUCUACUUAUCACCACAGGAUCACCUUUCCCAAACACAAAGCUAACAUACAGCCACGCCAUUUCUGCAGCUAUCUGUUGUGCAAUAAAAUAUGUAAGAUUAGAAAUAACCCUUGUCCCAAAAGGACAUAAACAUUUGCCUAGCAGCUGAAAAGUCUUUCAUAUUUAGGUUGUUAACUAAGAAUUCUGCAAUUUUUAGGAAAAAGAUAAGUAAACUAAAAAAUACUUGUUUUGCCUUCUGAAAUCCAGGACCAACAUUAGACAGAAAGAAGGUACAAGGGCUAAGAUACUUGACUAAAUUAUCAUCAGUGUUUUCUUCACAACCUUCCUGUGCAAUGUUGGGAAUAUCACUUACCCACUGGCUGUAUCCAUUCCCAGUGUAUGAAAUGG